GGACCUUUAGCUCAGUUGGUUAGAGCAACCGGCUCAUAACCGGUCGGUCCUGGGUUCGAGUCCCCGAAGGUCCACUA
rnacentral:tRNA from 14 species